GAAUAAAUCUACCCGGCUGAUUCAUACAAAGGUAUCCGUGAAGAUCACCCUAAGAAAUGAGACGACACAGAUGGCCGUUGACACAUUUUAUCAUUUAUAAUAAACUCUUUGUGAAACGGUCAUUUAACUGUCCAUAUCAAUUCAGAAAUAUAACAGAGUUCUGUAAAAGAAGCUCAAAAUGGAACGUGUGACCUAAUUUGAAAGUCCACAUAAUAUUUUGAAAUGUGCAAAACGGAAAAAACGUUUCGAUAGAAAAGUGAUUCUUCUCCGUGUUGUUACGUCAAAACCUCACCGGCGAUAUUAAAUGAAACUGUAGAAUUGUUUUGUCAAGUUGACGGUCAGUUAAACGAAAGCACAACUAGAAAAUGGGAAAGAGGUGUGUUGAUCUUAACUUCUAAAGACAAAUCUAUCGAUUCUUCCAAAUUCAAAGAAAGAAAGACAGACGAUGGAUUUGCUCUUCAAAUUAUCAAAUUACAGGCUUCCGACCUCAACAAAGAGUAUACCUGUGUGUACGGCUUUAAAAGAUGUCACUUUAAUUUGACAAUCAAUCUAGGAAAUUUUGAAGUUCAUCCAGUAAACAAAACUGUGACAACGACAUGGAACGAAGCAGCCGGAAAAUUAGAAGUGCAAAUAAAGUUUUCCUUAGUAUACCCUAAACCACGGUGCGAAGUUAUUUACAAUGAGAAAUACUCGGCCAAGUCAAAGUCCAUAAAAACAAGGUCGCAUCAUGUUGGUGUAUUUUAUUCGACAAACAUAACAGUUGAAGAAAGCAUUGGUUCAGUGUGCAUUAAAAAAUUAAAGAUUACAUGCACUGUAGGAUCUAAAGACUUUGUUAUCAAAGACUAUACAAGCCCUACCAAAAACUGCAAAAAUGUCGGCAAAAGGCAAGUUGAAUUUGAAAGCCUAUGUGUUUUGAUCGCUUUGGUGUUUGGUAUUUAUUAUGGGUUUUGACGCAAAACAUACACUAGAAGGGUUUCAACACGAAUGGUGAUUUGGUCAGUUUGAACAGAGACAGAGGAAAUUCGCGUAUACGAGUUAUAACUAACACAAAAGAAAUUUUUCAUUUGUUUUGUAAAUUUUAUGAUUUGGAUGCUUGGCUUUGCUCUUUAUGGAUAAUAUGUUUGUACUUUCAGUAUCAAAUUUGGUCUUCUAAUAGUACAGAAUUAUUACUUAUGUAGUUAUUUAAAUUCAAGUGAAUUGGAAAAACAAACAUAGAAUGCAACAGAAGCAAUGUAUGAAGUUAUAAAAAUGAGGCAUAUAUCAUAAUUUAUUAAUUGAAUGUCAAAUAAGACUUUAUAUUAAUAAAAGGUAAAUCUAUAUACUUCUGAGUGAAAUAAGGGAGAUAAUAAGCUACUUCCGGUGAAGUAGAUGUCACUUCCGGU